rnacentral:rRNA from 1 species
GAUGAACGCUGACAGAAUGCUUAACACAUGCAAGUCUUUCGCGAAGCUGUGCUUGCUCAUCCUAUCCAAGGCGCACGGGUGAGUAACGCGUAAGGAACUUGCCCUGCCGUCAGGGAUAAGAGACGGAAACGACUGAUAAGCCCUGGCAAAGUCAGACGGACUCAUGUCUAGCCUGAUGAAAAGAGAUGCUGCGGGAGAGACUUGGGUCCUAUUAGCUGGUUGGUGGGGUAAUGGCCCACCAAGGCGAUGAGAGGUACCCGGCCUGAGAGGGGGGACGGCCAAGAGGCGACUGGGAUACGGCAGUUGCUACUCCUGGAGGCAGCAGUGGGGAAUAUUGGACAAAGGGGGCAACCCUGAUCCAGCAAUUCUGUGUGUAAGAUGAAGGUUUUCGGAUUGUAAAGUGCUUUCAGUAAGGAAGAAAAAAAUGACGGUACCUGCAGAAGAAGCGACGGCUAAAUACGUG